rnacentral:rRNA from 1 species
AAAGGGUUGUUCGAGACUAGAACGUUGAUAGGCAGGGUGUGUAAGCGUUGUGAGGCGUUGAGCUAACCUGUACUAAUUGCCCGUGAGGCUUAACCAUACAACACCCAAAGGGUUUUG